rnacentral:rRNA from 1 species
AACGAACGUUGGCGGCGUGGAUUAGGCAUGCAAGUCGUGCGAGAAAGGGGCUUCGGCCCUGAGUACAGCGGCGAACGGGUGAGUAUCGCGUGGGAAACCUGCCUUCGAGUGGGGGAUAACACUCCUAACGGGGUGCUAAUACCGCAUGACACCCUUGGAUCGCAUGGUCCGAGUGUCAAAGGUGGCCUCUACUUGUAAGCUACCGCUUGAAGAUGGUCCCGCGUCCGAUUAGCUAGUUGGCGGGGUAACGGCCCACCAAGGCGACGAUCGGUAGCUGGUCUGAGAGGAUGGUCAGCCACACUGGGACUGAGAUACGGCCCAGACUCCUACGGGAGGCAG